GACGGAGGAUGCAAGCGUUAUCCGGAAUUAUUGGGCGUAAAGCGUCCGCAGGUGGCUGUUCAAGUCUGCUGUCAAAGCGCAGAGCUUAACUCUGUACAGGCGGUGGAAACUGAAGAGCUAGAGUAUGGUAGGGGUAGAGGGAAUUCCCGGUGUAGCGGUGAAAUGCGUGGAUAUCGGGAGGAACACCUGAGGCGAAGGCGGGCUACUGGGCCGAUACUGACGCUGAUGUGCGAAAGCCAGGGGAGCGAACGGG
rnacentral:rRNA from 1 species